rnacentral:rRNA from 1 species
AGUGAACGCUGGCGGUAGGCCUAACACAUGCAAGUCGAACGGCGGCACAGUAAGAGCUUGCUCUUACGGGUGGCGAGUAGCGGACGGGUGAGGAAUACAUCGGAAUCUACUUUUUCGUGGGGGAUAACGUAGGGAAACUUACGCUAAUACCGCAUACGACCUACGGGUGAAAGCAGGGGAUCUUCGGACCUUGCGCGAUUGAAUGAGCCGAUGUCGGAUUAGCUAGUUGGCGGGGUAAAGGCCCACCAAGGCGACGAUCCGUAGCUGGUCUGAGAGGAUGAUCAGCCACACUGGAACUGAGACACGGUCCAGACUCCUACGGGAGGCAGCAGUGGGGAAUAUUGGACAAUGGGCGCAAGCCUGAUCCAGCCAUACCGCGUGGGUGAAGAAGGCCUUCGGGUUGUAAAGCCCUUUUGUUGGGAAAGAAAAGCAGCAGGUUAAUACCCCGCUGUUCUGACGGUACCCAAAGAAUAAGCACCGGCUAACUUCGUG